GACGAACGCUGGCGGCGUGCUUAACACAUGCAAGUCGAACGGAAAGGCCCUGCUUGCAGGGUGCUCGAGUGGCGAACGGGUGAGUAACACGUGGGUGAUCUGCCCCUUACUUUGGGAUAAGCCUGGGAAACUGGGUCUAAUACUGGAUAGGACCAUGCUGUAGGUGGUGUGGUGGAAAGAUUAGUUUCGGUAAGGGAUGAGCUCGCGGCCUAUCAGCUUGUUGGUGGGGUAAUGGCCUACCAAGGCGUCGACGGGUAGCCGGCCUGAGAGGGUGGACGGCCACAUUAGGACUGCGAUACGGCCCAGACUCCUACGGGAGGCAGCAGUGGGGAAUAUUGCACAAUGGGCGCAAGCCUGAUGCAGCGACGCCGCGUGGGGGAUGACGGCCUUCGGGUUGUAAACUCCUUUCAGCCAUGACGAAGCCCUUGUGGUGACGGUAGUGGUAGAAGAAGCACCGGCUAACUACGUG
rnacentral:rRNA from 1 species